UACGUAGGUGGCAAGCGUUAUCCGGAAUUACUGGGCGUAAAGCGCACGCAGGCGGUCUUGUAAGCUUGACGUGAAAGCUCCCGGCUUAACUGGGAGAGGUCGUUGAAGACUGCAAGACUUGAGGAAAUGAGAGGGGUGUAGAAUUCCCGGUGUAGUGGUGGAAUGCGUAGAUAUCGGGGGGAAUACCAGUGGCGAAAGCGGCACCCUAGCAUUUUUCUGACGCUCAUGUGCGAAAGCGUGGGGAGCGAACGGG
rnacentral:rRNA from 1 species